rnacentral:rRNA from 1 species
GACGAACCACACAAACGUUAUUCGGAAUUACUGGGCUUAAAGGGUGCGUAGGCUGUGCAGAAAGUUAGGUCGUGAAAUCCCCCGGCUCAACCGGGGAAUUGCGCUUAAAACUACUGUGCUAGAGGGAAGACAGAGGUGAGCGGAACUUCGGGUGGAGCGGUGAAAUGCGUUGAUAUCCGAAGGAACACCGGUGGCGCAAAGGCGGCU